UGCAAUAAUAAAGGGGAGUAGUUCGGGCUUUUGCCUUUGAAGGCUCAACAUGCUGGCAAGACAUCUUGCCUGGGCUUUCACCAUUCUUGGGAAUGAGACCUUUAUUCCGGGU
rnacentral:misc_RNA from 1 species